UCUUUUCUCUUUCUUCUUCAAAUUUUUUCGAAGAAGAAAGAAGGAAAAGAUAAAAGCGAGCUGUUAUUGAGAAAAACGUAAGGACGUUACGUUACUGAAAACGUGUAAAUGCCUUGUGCCAAUGCAAACUAACGAGAUAACAACGGAAUGCAAAACAGUAGGAGAGCGAUCGCAUGGGACGUCACAUAUGUGACCGUGCAGCAUUUCAUUCCGAUCUACGAGAGAAUGGAAAAAUCACGUAGUAGACACGCUUAGAGGAGUAUACGCUCGGGAAUACAUAUCAAAUCGGGAGAGACAUAUGUGUAGGUGUAACAACGACGCGUGGGUGGUCCACGGCAGGGCUUCGUCCGCCCGUUUUUCGCGUGGGGCGUACGCAGUUGGGGUAUACUCGCUCUAUCUUUCUAUCUCUUUCUGUUACAUUAUUUCUCUCUAUUCCCCUUAAGUUGGCAACGAUUCUCUUUGGGUGUUUGUACGGGAAAGGUCGCGCUGCGCGACGAGUGCAGCUGUACCGAACACGAACCGAGAGCUUCGUGACUACCUUAUGCCGCGUUUACACUCCGCUCGCAUUCCCCCGUUAACUCCGAUCGAAAGUUAUAGUUUUGGAAAAAGGCGGCAGAACUCAUCGCGAGAGAGGGAAGAUGCCGAUGGCCGGCAAACGAACUCUCUCGGAUCUUACAACUCUUUUCUUCGUUUCUCUUUUCUCUUGAAAACUAUCGAUGAUCUUCUUUAUUAACAAUUUACGUUACGUUACUAAACUUAAUCUCGAUUCAAUUUUGUCAAUAACUUCGAACAAAUGUUUCCUUUUAGAUUUCGAUCGUUGUCGCGUAUAAUAAAGAAACGGAUCUAUUUUCGUCGUGCGAUGUAAACGCAGUUACAUAUUUUCGGUAUAGUUUUCAAACUCCUUUCCAAAAAACAUCCACGAGUCUGAUAAAGCGUCGUCGAUAAAAAGCAAGUGUAGAGUUCUUUGUUUCGAAACUCUUCUUAGUACGUUCUUUUUACUUUCCAUCAUAAUCGCAUUUCUCUUCGAGUAUGAUUUUAUUUUUCCAAACCGUUAAAACUAUCAUCGAAGCUAUCUGUAGAUUAUUUUGAUAAAAUCAAAUAGAAUGUCGUUAACGUUCACACGAUGAAAAUAUUUUUAUGAUAACUUCGAUUUCUUUUUUUAAACACACUUUAAUUUAAUAAAAACGGGUACGAUUAACACUUAAGAUAUUCGACAAGAUGCGAUAUACAAGAAUUUUGCAAUUCCACGUGCGUUAACGUGAAUAUACGCCAAACAGCUGUUCGCUCACGGCACGUUGCGAUAAUUAACUAGAAAGUACGCGAUGCGUACGUAUACGUACACACACACCUAUAUAUAUAUAUAUAUAUAUAAAUACACGGAAUCAUGCAGGUGUCAACUCAUCACAUAUGUAUGUCGCAACGAAAUUGGUUCGCACCGAUUUUAUGACCACCAGUUUCCUUUUAAAUCGUACAAUCGACUGUCGUCAAUUCUUUUAUUUUUCUUUAAAAAAAGAAGUUUGAUUUUACGCAUAUUUUUCUCGUCUCAUGUAAAAGAUUAUUAAUAAUGCAUAUACACGUGAUAAACAAAUUUCGUUCAUUCCUCAUUCGUAAUAGAACUCAUUAAAAAUGUAUCGAUUUUAUGAUAUAAAAGUAGAUCGAUAAAAUUAUGCGUAGAAAAAUUUAUUUAAAUUAAUAUCUAAGAUUGUUCCUUUUACGAGAUGGGAAUGAAAAAGUUUCGUUAAUCUAAUUCAACUCUCACGUACGAAACUAACUAAAUUUGCGACCGAACGUGCAGUUUGGGCUAUUGUUUCGACCUAUUUAAAAGUUCGUGCGUGUAGUAAAAAUAAAAAUGAAGUUACGUCAACUGCAAAUACGUAUAGCAAGUAAUAAUAAUUCUUACUAAUACUUGUCGUUGCGGUAAUUGUCAAUAGAUAAGAAAGACAACAAAGCGUACUUAUAUGGCUUCGUACUCGUAUCUGCUUUAUGGCUCGUUAACUUGCUAUUACGUAAUUUCGACUGUAGACGUUUGUUCAGUUUAGGGAAUAACAAUGUUAAAUAUGCAUGAUACAUAAGAAAAAAGAGAGAUGCGGACGUCGAAUUUUUUUUCGAAAAGUCGGCUGCCCAUGAACACCCUUUAUACCCCUCUCAUCUACCCUUUCUCUCUUUCUCUCUCACUCUUUUUUUCUCUUUCUCGUAAAACCAGUCAGUCGUUGAUGCUUCCUGUAAUUUUAUACGCUUUCUACCUGUCUAUAAAAGCAAACUGCGCCUAUGGGAAUUUGCACGCUUAAUGUUCGUUGACGACCCUCGGAAUUUUCAAGCAGUUCGCUAAGAAUUCUGUUAUUAUCCAGUCAAGAACUGACUAUUUUCGUUUCUAAUAUUCAAACUGUACAUUGUAAAUUAUGAUAACUUGAGUCAAGGAAAUUCUAAAAUUGUAAAGAAUAUCGCAUUUGUCGUAUAAAAAUGGACGAGACAUGACGAGUAUUCGUCUUUAUUUAUUAUAGAUUUAAAGAAUAAAUUUUCUCUCUCUUUCUCUCUUAUAUCUUAUUUGAAUUAGAGUAUCGACAAAUUUAGACAAAAUAUGUAAUGUGUGCUUUCGAACCUUCGAUUCUUCCUAUCUGCGAAUCUUCCUCGAAAGGUCUUAUUGUUAGUCGCUCGGAGAGCACGAAGUGCAAAAGUCGUUAAGCCAGCGUGGAAGGACGUUUCAUAGCCCGUUGAAUAUGCACGUUGUUGUUAUACCAGUCUAACAUUCUCGGAAUCGAUAGUUUCUCGUUUUAUGAUUCUACGUGAAAUACCUUGCACGAUUUACUCCGACUAGCUAAUGAACUAUAAUAGAACUCUUAAGAAUGCACGUACUGUAUUUUCAUAAUAAAAGGGGGAAAAAAAGAAAAAGGAAAAAAAAAGAAAUAAUACAAACGAGUGAUUAAAUUAAUGGGGAAACCAACGAAACAUCGUAGUUGUACGAGAAUGAUUCGAUUAUCGUGUGAGAACUAUCGAUUGCUCAAUCAAUAUCACUUCUAACUAUGUACUAUCGAGCUGUAUUAGACCAACCAAAUUUAAUUACAACAGAAUUGCAUUAGCUGUGUUACUGUACACGAUAGCGUCGUCGAAAUACAUUAAUAAGUUUGGAUUAGUAUCAUCGAAAUGAAUGAUAACACCGAAACCGCAACAUACUAUAGCGCUUUAGUUUAUUAUCGAACACUGAUUAUAUAUUGAACGGUUAAAUAUAGUUCAAUGCUUUACGAAGAAUCGGUACGUCUGACGAUAUUCGAUUACUCGAGAAAAUAGGCAUACCUCGACCUUCAACCUGCAAUAACGAUUCUCCUUCUCUUUCUUUAUCUCUCUCUCUCUCUCUCUCUCUCGCUCGCUCGCUCGCUCUUUCCUCCUCUCUCUCUUCUGUCUCUCUCGAUACAAUAGGCUGUUAAAAUUUUUUCCUCUUUUCCGAUGUCUUCCGAUUUCAAAGUUAUAUUUCUUCGAUCUGUCACAUCAAAUUUGUACUUUCCUCGCAAUGUGUAACAAUUCAUUGAUUCGUUUAUAAUUUUAUUUAGGAAAUAAGUGAAAGAUUAAAAAAGAACAGAUAAUGAAGUAUAUAUGUAAGUAUACUUAUCACAUCCUUUUUACGUAACAAGGAGACUCGUCAAGAGUAUUAGCUGAAACGCGGCCAUAGUUGAGCAACGAGGAAGGCCGUUACAUCGUAACGGCCACCGGUGUGUGCAGUACGGAAUGUGGAAUCGCGGAUGAAAAAACGUGUCACGAAUCCUUGACCUCCUCUCGUAUACACAAGGUGCUAGCCUAGGAGAGCACUUGGGCGAUCAACCACAAGAAAGAUGGCUUCCUAAAUACUUUUAGAUUCUUCAAUCCCUUUUUUCACUUAUAAUAGAGUUUCUUAGAGUAGGUACUGAACGGUUCGAUGGAUACAGUUCCAUUUCUAAGAUCUACUGACGUGAAAAUGUUAUGAAAAAGGAAAGAUCGAUCAAUCUUACGAGAACUUGUUAUCUAUCUGUUAAAAAAAUGACGAUAAUUCAUGUGACGUUAUCGCGAUCGACCUUCUAAGAUCUAAUAUACAAAUCUGUAUAUUUAGAUCAAUAACGUUAUGGUUGCUCGUUGUGGUUGUAAUUUAAAAAUAAUAAGAUAGAUCGAAUUGAUCGGAGUAUUUUAUCGGUAAAUCAAAUGUCGUUUGUCUGUUGAAUUCUGGAUCGAUCGGAAUUUUAUGACGUUGCUUUUAUGUAGACAUUUGGCCCCAUUUUUUCCUACUUUUGUUUCUUUUUAUUUUCCUUUCCUUUUUUUUUUUCUCAACGUUUGAAUUGCGCCAACUCUCGCUUGCAAAAUAAUUGUGCGCAUUUAAACGAACGAAAAUCAGAAACGUAAAAAUGUGAAAAAAAUAAAUGAAAUCGGCACAUCAUAUUUCAAAGUUAAAAGAUACUCGAAUCUUGUAUGAGAAGUUACGAAUAACCGGCUGAACUCUGGCAUGCCAGGCUAGACGAUCCUUGACCUUCUGCCGCAUACCAAAGAAAUUCUGAAACAACGUUGUUUCUUACGCACGAAUGUAGGAGUUUCUUCUUAUUCUCAUCGCAACGAGGACAACGACCACCCACGAGAGAUAUACUUAUUUGAUAAAAUUAUUAUUUAUAGACAUAAAAAUAAUAAUCGAUCUAUUUUUCUGAUAGCGUCGUUGACUCGUUAUCGGAAAAAUAAAUAAAUAUCACGUGAAGGCAUAAAAAAAUUUCUUCGAUUAAAAAAACUACACUUAGUCCCUGUUUUUAUUAAUUUAAAUUUCUCUUUCGUAAAGUAAGUAUUACUUAUAUUUCUUGAUAGACGUAAUUCAAUUAAAGUGCCUUUCGUUUUCAUUGAAAUAAUUUUUUUUAUUGAAAAUCUUAAUAAUAUUAAAUAAAGAAUACAUUUUCUUAGUGAUAUAUGUAAUUUUCAAAAUUUUUUAAAUCCAGAAAUUCGUGACGAAUAGAAGAAGAAACUACGUGUACUUCUGGAGAAAUACAUUCGUUGCUUACAACUUACAUACUUCCUGAUUACAAUUGAACUUCGUGCGAACGCAAGGAACCUCGUUGACAACCGAUUUGGAAAAUGAAGCAACGGACUUGGUGCGUUCGCCUUUCGAUAUAAUCGAUUUCCAUCACUUUGAAGUCUUCUUGACUGUGCUUCUACGAUAAGACUAGAAGGAAAGCAUGUUCGAUCGUAUAUUACUUGAAGAAAAAGAGAGAGAGAGAGAGAAAGAAAGAAAGAGCUCUUCUAUCUUCUACAUAUACUCUUACGUACUGCAUAAUGUGUAUUGUGAACAACGAGGUGAAGAUGUCAUCUAUUAGCCUGAUAUGUUGCAGGUUAACUUAUGGAAAGAUAUGACCGCUCCAAUGCCUUCUGAAAUUGAAUUACACGCAUGGUGAUCCACGUGAAAGAGGUGACUACCUGUGCAUGCAGAAUGAGGACAUGUUAAGGCACUAUUUGUAUUACAUGUAACCUGGAGAACGUUUGGUUGGAUGCCAAGGAUAAAAAAUCAUUUCUGUUUUGUAAGAGAAUAAGCAUACACCAUUCCGUAUUUCACUGAAGGCCCUUUUUCUUUCUUCCUUGCACCCUCUUCUUUCUACCGAUGGCAGAUGCUCUGCUAUAAUAGUUUCUAUUUUUGGUUAGUAGAAGGGUCGGUCCGUCCGUCCGUUCGAAUCUACGAUCAUCUUGCAUGGAUACAGAUGUUUCUUCUAGGGCAGCCCUCGAAGCUGAAGAGAAAUAGCAGGAAUGGGAAAAAUAUCAGGCCCGGAGACGAUAGAAAAACGAAGGGUAUGAGCUCACAUUGCGGAUAGAUAAACAGUCACGUAGAAGCGCAUGAAGGAGAAGGAACAAAAAGCGACGGGAGAGAAGAAUACUGGCGGAGUGGCACGACUUUUGUCGAUCGAACCUAAGACUCUUCAUUCUCCCUUAAAACGGUCCUUGGAUCACGAGACUUUUCCUCCUCAACAUCUCUCGACCCUUUUUAUAAGAUACAAGUCGACUUGUGGAGAAAAUAAAAAGUAAUUUCUAGAAGAUGCUACUCAACGUGAAGGAACUUAAAGAUAGAAGAAUUUAACGAUCUGGCAUAUAAGGAAAUUUACUAUUAUAAGAUAUUAGAAAACAUUAAAAAUUUGUUAGUUCUUAAAGAUCAUAAUCGCAGAUUACUAGUUAUUAAGGUGCAUGUUAAGAAGAAAGGACGGACUACUUACAAAAUAAAUUUUGUUUACUUCGCUCGCUAAUUUUAGAAAUAAAAUGGUUCGU